ACAUGCAAGACAACACAACGACUCAACAUAGACACACAAAAAUAAAGACACAUCCCCCUCCUCACACUUAGACAUUGCUUGCCCUCAAGCAAACAAGAAAAAGCAUAAAAAAGGAGAACACACAAGAAAAAAAAUAAAUAAAUAAACCAACAAACACAAACACUAAACAAGACAAGGAAAAAAUAAAGAAACAAAAACGAACAAGAGGGAAGGGUAUCACCGUGCUCUCGCUGCCUUGUGGAGAUGCCGGCAAAGGGCGGAGGGCGGCGGUUCUGGAGGUGGUCGUGGCGGCGGCGGUGUUUCAGGCGGAGAGAUGCGAGUGGAGAUGGAGGGCGGUAAUGGAGGUUGGCGGUGGUGAUUUCCAGAUGCAGAUGAAAAGAUAUGAUGGCCGGAACAGGGAGG
rnacentral:lncRNA from 1 species